rnacentral:rRNA from 1 species
CCUACGGGUGGCUGCAGUGGGGAAUAUUGGACAAUGGGCGCAAGCCUGAUCCAGCAAUACCGCGUGUGUGAAGAAGGCCUGAGGGUUGUAAAGCACUUUUAAUCGGGAGGAAUAGCGGUCGGUUAAUACCCGGUCGUCUGACAUUACCGAUAGAAAAAGCACCGGCUAACUCCGUGCCAGCAGCCGCGGUAAUACGGAGGGUGCAAGCGUGAAGCGGAGCUACUGGGCGUGAAGGGUGCAUACGGAUGUGAAAGCCCCGGGCUUAACCUGGGAACGGCAUUUGAAACUGAUCGACUAGAGUUGGGUAGAGGGGCGUGGAAUUUCAGGUGUAGCGGUGAAAUGCGUAGAUAUCUGAAGGAACACCAGUGGCGAAGGCGGCUCCCUGGACCCAAACUGACGCUGAGGCACGAAAGCGUGGGUAGCAAACAGGAUUAGAUACCCCGGUAGUC